GACGAACGCUGGCGGCGUGCUUAACACAUGCAAGUCGAGCGGAAAGGCCCCUUUGGGGGUACUCGAGCGGCGAACGGGUGAGUAUCACGUGAGUAAUCUGCCCUUCACUUCGGGAUAGCUUCGGGAAACCGAAAUUAAUACCGGAUACGACUACUCCUCGCAUGAGGUGGUGGUGGAAAGAUUUUUUGGUGGGGGAUGUGCUCGCGGCCUAUCAGCUUGUUGGUGGGGUAAUGGCCUACCAAGGCUUCGACGGGUAGCCGGCCUGAGAGGGUGACCGGCCACACUGGGACUGAGACACGGCCCAGACUCCUACGGGAGGCAGCAGUGGGGAAUAUUGGACAAUGGGCGGAAGCCUGAUCCAGCAACGCCGCGUGAGGGAUGACGGCCUUCGGGUUGUAAACCUCUUUCACCACCGACGAAGCGCAAGUGACGGUAGGUGGGGAAGAAGCACCGGCCAACUACGUGCCAGCCGCCGCCGUAACAC
rnacentral:rRNA from 1 species